rnacentral:rRNA from 1 species
CCACCGCCCGUCACACCAUGGGAGUCGAUUGCUCCAGAAGUGGCUGCGCCAACCCCGCCAAGGGAGGGUAGGUCCCCAAGGAGUGAUCGGUGACUGGGGUG